rnacentral:rRNA from 1 species
GACGAACGCUGGCGGCGUGCUUAACACAUGCCAGUCGAACGGGCCUUGUCCCCUUUUUUUUGGGGGUGGGGUUAGUGGCGAACGGGUGAGUAACACGUGAGUAACCUGCCCCUCACUUCUGGAUAACCGCUUGAAAGGGUGGCUAAUACGGGGUGUUCUGGCCUGCUCGCAUGGGUGGGUUUGGAAAGAUUCGACCGGUUUUGGUUGUUUUGGUGGGGGAUGGGCUCGCGGCCUAUCAGCUUGUUGGUGGGGUGAUGGCUUGCCAAGGCUUUGACGGGUAGCCGGCCUGAGAGGGUGGGCGGUCACACUGGGACUGAGACACGGCCCAGACUCCUACGGGAGGCAGCAGUGGGGAAUAUUGCACAAUGGGCGCAAGCCUGAUGCAGCGACGCCGCGUGAGGGAUGGAGGCCUUCGGGUUGUGAACCUCUUUCGCCAGUGAAGAAGGUCCUGCUCUUUGUGGUGGGGUUGACGGUAGCUGGGUUAAUGAAGCGCCGGCUAACUACGUG